AUUUGACCAGAUAUAGUAUAAAGAUUAGACAAAUAACUCAAUGAAAAACAACAUAAUGCUCAAUAUAUGGCAGCUGUAGGAAAUUUGUCAGGAGCAUCAUCUGAUCUUUGUGCUCCAGAAUGUUGUUUAUGCACAAUUUCUGGACUAACUUUUAGCCUGAUGGGUCACUGAAACUUAAGCUUGUCUUUCCUUAUUCAGGCAGACAAGGAUCUAUGCAUGACUAGAAAAUAAACCAGCGGUGAAACCAAAAUGAACACUGUGUCUUUCGACUGUGAUGUUGUUCAGCCGUUCUGCCACUCAGCAAAAAGAGCAUGUCAGGUGGAUUUAGAUCUAUAGAGCUGUUACAUUCUAUAUCCAGUAACAAACAUCAGAUAUCAAUACAUUUAAAAGUUAGCUUUCAGUUUUUAUAAACAAACACAUGUUUGUUAAGUGGACCUUUGUUUAACUAUGUACUGAAGCCGUAGGGAGAUAUGCGGUUGAUCAGGUUUGUGUGCCUCUGCUCAUUUCCUUAAAAGUGUUCCUCAUCAUUCCUUAAAAAUGCUGAAUGAAAAAGACAGGAGGUUAGAAAUACUCACCCAUCUCACCGCAACAGCAGUGUUUCCUUGCCUUAGGUGUCGAGAACUUGAUAAUUCAUCAUCUCUCAUCAUCUCUCAUCAUGAUGCUGCUUCUUCAUGUGCUGAUGCUGUACUCAGCCUACAAGUUUGAAGGGAUAAUGGGCUGCACAAGAGAAAACAACUGGUACAUUGAACCUCAACUGACUAAAGCUGAAAUCCGUGAUCACAGACUUCUCUCUACCCUGCCGAUUCCUGCUCCACUCGUCGGAGUACAUAUCUGGAAAAAAUGUCAGAAUUCACACGUGAAACUUCAUGCUGUCAAGAGACAGAUUAAUUCAUUGGAGUUGUCAUGUAUGCUUAUUACAGCUAAUAAUAAUAAACAUAAAUAAUCACAUAAUAAAUUUGUGUGUAUGUGUGAGUAUAGAUGCAUGUAUAGAGAGGACUUACAAAUGUUUUUCUCUUACAGAUCUAAAUAAUUCAUUCAUAUUUCAUAUUGCACAUAAUGUACUGAUGUCUAAAUUCACUUGAAUAUUGAUAUUAAAAAUACACCUAACCUGGGAAAUAUUAACUGGAGUAAAAAGUGUGACAACAUGCCCCAGUAUCUCCACAAUGCUGUUUAUAGACCUAUGCUAUGCUAUGCAGGAAAAUUCUGUUCUUUUGUUUUAUGCAAAUAUUCUUAUAUUUCUUCCUACACCUGUUUUCAUUUGAAGCAUCUGGGCAUGAAUGUGUUGUUUCUCAUUAUUUCACAUAAUGCAGCAAAGUGUCUCCAUUUAUACAUGUCUAUAGCUGUGUUCGUGACAUCUAAAAAGUAUUUAAGGAAACUGUACCUGUACAUGCAGAUUAUAAAUAAAAAGUGUACUUGAAGUGACGAAGUGAAGUGAAGUGAAGUGAAGUGACGUGACAUUCAGCCAAGUAUGGUGACCCAUACUCAGAAUUUGUGCUCUGCAUUUAACCCAUCCGAAGUGCACACACACAGAGCAGUGAACACACACACACUGUGAACACACACCCGGAGCAGUGGGCAGCCAUUUAUGCUGCGGCGCCCGGGGAGCAGUUGGGGUUCAGUGCCUUGCUCAAGGGCACCUAAGUCGUGGUAUUGAGGGUGGAGAGGAGCGCUGUACAUUCACCUCCCCCCACCCACUUAUACAUGUCUAUAGCUGUGUUCGUGACAUCUAAAAAGUAUUUAAGGAAACUGUACCUGUACAUGCAGAUUAUAAAUAAAAAGUGUACUUGAAGUGACGAAGUGAAGUGAAGUGAAGUGAAGUGACGUGACAUUCAGCCAAGUAUGGUGACCCAUACUCAGAAUUUGUGCUCUGCAUUUAACCCAUCCGAAGUGCACACACACAGAGCAGUGAACACACACACACUGUGAACACACACCCGGAGCAGUGGGCAGCCAUUUAUGCUGCGGCGCCCGGGGAGCAGUUGGGGUUCAGUGCCUUGCUCAAGGGCACCUAAGUCGUGGUAUUGAGGGUGGAGAGAGCGCUGUACAUUCACUCCCCCCACCACAAUUCCUGCCGGCCCGAGACUCGAACUCACAACCCUUCGAUUGGGAGUCCGACUCUCUAACCAUUAGGCCACGACUUCCCCUAGUGUAUUGAACAGAAUACACUUUCUUGACUUGUAAUAAUGUGGCAUACUAUUUUUUUAUUUGGAAGUACAUUUUAAUCAUUAUGUUUAAAAAAAGAAUUUGUGGUUUAAAGCACUACACUUAAAUUUGAUGUCGAAUAACAUAAUGCACAUUUUAAUUUGUUAUCAUUUUAACUGUAGGGUUAUUUUAAAUUUCUUUUCAAGUUAAUAUAUUUUAAAGAAAUUAUUCUAUUUUUAUCGUCAUCAUUACAAAAAUAUUUAAAUACAUAACAUGCAAGUUUCAAUAAAAAAUAUGUUUAACAUAUUUUAAUUUAUAAAUUAUUGGCCUUUAAUUUAUAAUUUAUAUUAAUUUAUAUAUAAGCAGUUUUAAAGGCAUACUUAAGUGGGUCAGAAAAGCAUUCUUACAUUCAAAUAAUUGCAUUUAAUAUAAAUUUAAACUGCAUUGUAAGUGAAGUUUGUUAUUCCAAAACAUAAUUUCAAUAUUAGUCACUAGAUGGCAGUUCUGUGAUAGCGGUGACAUUGCUGCAGCUUCUGCAGCGUCAAGAAGAACACGAUAAGCCCUACUAAUCGAUCCCGCUCAUAUUUAUUUUUAUUUUUUUGUUUCGUUAGAUAAAAUUGAGAAUUCAGUUUUGUUCAGCUAAGUUGUACGAUUCGAUAAAAAUUAUUAAAUUAAUUAUAAAAACUUAUAUAUUAUUAUAUUGAAUAGAGUAAAUAAAUAGCUCGAUCAUAAUAUUAUCUAUUAGUAAUGUCUUUCGUUAAAGCAUCAUGGUGACUUCCAGUAGAAGCAUCAUGUGAGGCAUUCUAGCGCCUGUUUCUACCGCGGUUUGUGUUUUGAAAGGGUGAUAUGAACGGACUGAU
rnacentral:lncRNA from 1 species